AUUGAACGCUGGCGGCAUGCUUUACACAUGCAAGUCGAACGGUAACAGGUCUUCGGAUGCUGACGAGUGGCGAACGGGUGAGUAAUGCAUCGGAACGUGCCCAGUCGUGGGGGAUAACGCAGCGAAAGCUGUGCUAAUACCGCAUACGAUCUAUGGAUGAAAGCGGGGGACCGUAAGGCCUCGCGCGAUUGGAGCGGCCGAUGUCAGAUUAGCUAGUUGGUGGGGUAAAGGCCCACCAAGGCGACGAUCUGUAGCUGUGCUGAGAGGACGACCAGCCACACGGGGACUGAGACACGGCCCAGACUACUACGGGAGGCAGCAGUGGGGAAUUUUGGACAAUGAGCGCAAGCCUGAUCCAGCAAUGCCGCGUGCAGGAAGAAGGCCUUCGGGUUGUAAAGCUCUUUCAGACGGAAAGAAAUCUUUCGGGUGAAUAUCCCGGAAGGAUGACGGUACCGUAAGAAGAAGCACCGGCUAACUACGUGCCAGCCGCCGCAGUAACAC
rnacentral:rRNA from 1 species